AGCAGCCGCGGUAAUUCCAGCUCCAAUAGCGUAUAUUAAAGUUGUUGCAGUUAAAAAGCUCGUAGUUGAAUUUCGGGAUCAAUAUGCUGGUCGUGCCAUUGGUACGUACUAGUAUUAUUGGUUUCUCCUUUCUGAUGAAUCAUGAUGUCAUUAAUUUGAUGUCAUGAGGAAUCAGGACUGUUACUUUGAAAAAAUUAGAGUGUUUAAAGCAGGCUCGCGCUUGAAUACAUUAGCAUGGAAUAAUGAAAUAGGAUGUUUGAUUCUAUUUUGUUGGUUUCUAGGAUUGACGUAAUGAUUAAUAGGGAUAGUUGGGGGCAUUAGUAUUCAAUUGUCAGAGGUGAAAUUCUUGGAUUUAUUGAAGACUAACUACUGCGAAAGCAUUUGCCAAGGAUGUUUUCAUUAAUCAAGAACGAAAGUUAGGGGAUCGAAGACGAUCAGAUACCGUCGUAGUCUUAACCAUAAACUAUGCCGACUAGGGAUCGGAUGAUGUUAAUUUUUUAAUGACUCAUUCGGCGCCUUA
rnacentral:misc_RNA from 2 species